GGGGGUAUAACUCAAGUGGUAGAGUGAAUGGCUUAGCAUACCCAAGGUCCUGGGUUCAAUCCCCAGUAACUCCU
rnacentral:tRNA from 1 species